GUAACUAGGAGCUAAAAAUUUUUAAAAAACCCCUCCCAUCCGUCCUGACCCAAUAAGAAAAUGGAGCAAGAGGUGGCGGACAACUUCCUUUCAUUUUCUUAAUCCGUCACGAUCCGCUGAAAAUCUAUCAAAAUUCGCUCCCGCUCCGGCACGCUGCAAAUGAAGCAGUAAAAAGGGACAAAAAGUAGGAUAGAAAUCAGUCCGUCCCAAAUCUACCCCGACUCACUAAAAA
rnacentral:lncRNA from 1 species